UAUUGCGCAAUGGCCGAAAGGCUGACGCAGCGACGCCGCGUGUGGGAUGAAGGUCUUCGGAUUGUAAACCACUGUCGGGAGGGACGAAGCUCUGACGGUACCUCCAAAGGAAGCACCGGCUAACUCUGUGCCAGCAGCCGCGGUAAUACAGAGGGUGCGAGCGUUGUCCGGAAUCACUGGGCGUAAAGGGCGCGUAGGUGGCCAGGUAAGUAGGGGGUGAAAUGCCGGGGCUCAACCGCAGCACUGCCUCCUAGACUGUCUGGCUGGAGCACAGUAGAGGCAGGUGGAAUUCCCGGUGUAGCGGUGGAAUGCGUAGAGAUCGGAAGACACCAGGGGAAGGCGCCCCGCGGGGCUGCCUACGCUGAGCCGAAGCUCAAAACAA
rnacentral:rRNA from 1 species